UACAGAGGUCCCAAGCGUUGUUCGGAUUCACUGGGCGUAAAGGGUGCGUAGGUGGCAAGGUAAGUUUAAUGUGAAAUCUCCGAGCCUAACUCGGAAACUGCAUUGAAUACUAUCUAGCUCGAGGAUUGGAGGGGAGACUGGAAUACUUGGUGUAGCAGUGAAAUGCGUAGAUAUCAAGUGGAACAUCAGUGGCGAAGGCGAGUCUCUGGACAAUUCCUGACACUGAGGCACGAAAGCUAGGGGAGCAAACGGG
rnacentral:rRNA from 1 species